CAAAAUGGCAUAUAAUUUUAAGAAUUAUACUAAUAUUACUUUCAUUGAUGACAAAUUUAAUUUAUGUGAUUUCUUUGUCGAUUUGACUAACAGUCAUUGCCCAAUAACACCAGGAACAUAUCAAAUAAAUUACACACGUAAUGUACCAAAGCUCUUUUGGCCAGGUAGGUAUUAUGCCAAAGCUACUGCAUACAAUAAGAAAGGAGAGGAAAUGAUGUAUCAAAAGACAGAAGUUACUAUCAACUAAACUGCAUGUAUUCUAAUAUGACUUGAAUACAAUUACUUUAACAUU